rnacentral:rRNA from 1 species
CGCGUAGGCGGUUAAAUAAGUCAGAUGUGAAAGCCCCGGGCUCAACCUGGGAACUGCAUUUGAAACUGUUUAGCUAGAGUGUGGUAGAGGAGAGUGGAAUUUCAGGUGUAGCGGUGAAAUGCGUAGAUAUCUGAAGGAACAUCAGUGGCGAAGGCGGCUCUCUGGACCAACACUGACGCUGAGGUGCGAAAGCGUGGGUAGCAACG